UACCUACUUGGUGAGGUAAAGGCUUACCAAGGCUNCGAUCAGUAGCUGGUCUGAGAGGACGACCAGCCACACUGGGACUGAGACACGGCCCAGACUCCUACGGGAGGCAGCAGUGGGGAAUUUUGGACAAUGGGGGCAACCCUGAUCCAGCCAUGCCGCGUGAGUGAAGAAGGCCUUCGGGUUGUAAAGCUCUUUCAGCCGGAACGAAAAGGUUACGGUUAAUACCCGUGACUAAUGACGGUACCGGAAGAAGAAGCACCGGCUAACUACGUGCCAGCAGCCGCGGUAAUACGUAGGGUGCGAGCGUUAAUCGGAAUUACUGGGCGUAAAGCGUGCGCAGGCGGUUUUGAUAGUCAGAUGUGAU
rnacentral:rRNA from 1 species